rnacentral:rRNA from 1 species
UGGGGAAUAUUGCACAAUGGGGGAAACCCUGAUGCAGCCAUGCCGCGUGCGUGAAGAAGGCCUUCGGGUUGUAAAGCACUUUCAGUCGUGAGGAAAGGGAUACGGUUAAUACCCGUGUUCUGUGACGUUAGCGACAGAAGAAGCACCGGCUAACUCCGUG